UUUGUAAUCAAAUUACUUGUGUUAGAUAUAUGUGUUCAGCCUUAAGUUUUAACAACAUGUCAGCACCUCGUUUUUGCUUGAUGAAACAUCAUUUUUAAUGCACAUCUAUUCCACUUACAGAUGCUGGUGCGGGAUAUCAGUUUUAGAAUCCAGGGCAGGAAUGGCCUUUGCGCAGCGUCACCUGGAAGCUCAGACCCGCUGAGGUGUCAAACAUAUUUCAAGUUAUGGUGAGAUUUGCAAAGCAAGCGAGAAGAAUUUCCUCAUGAUUUUGCUAGAAAAAGAGGAUGCAUGCAGCUGUACUUGAGAGAAGGU